CCAGUUAUCUUCCCCAUCGUCAUCCCUCUUGCUCUUAGUUGUCUCUUGCUUAUCAUCUGAGAAAUUUCUUGGUGGGCCACGUCUGUUCCAAUAGAAGGGCCAUAAGAAAGAUGGAAAAAUAUACAAAUCAGCAAUUCAAACUGGAUGAUAUAUAUUACGCAGGCAAGUUAUUUAUCAAAAAAAUAUAUAUAUUAGUUGAAUCAUGAUCACAAUUUAUAAAUAUCUUCUAAACCAUAACACCAAAAAUGGUUAAUACGAAGGGUUGAUAGAUCAGAGUCUCAUUUUAAAUCACUAGCUUGACAAAGCUCCCCAAUUCGACAUUUUGUGGAUGACAAAAUUAACACCCAAGAAUGCAAGAGCCAAUGCAUAAAGGAUGCAUAGUUUGUACAUCUUUUCUCUUUGGAGCUUGAAAGUUAUUGUCAAGAACCAGACCUUUGAAGCUAACGCAUGCUAUAGCAAUUUAGGUAUAACUAGAGCUUAGUAGAAUUUACUUCUACUGCCACAAACAUGAUAUUGCGGGUUUCUAAUUUGACUGGCGGUACCAAACUGAAGCUUGAUAACUGCAGAGACUUUUAGGUUCCCUUUAUCGUUAUGACAUAAUAGACUUUGUGUGAAGCCCAAUAACGAAGUGUGAGCUUAUGAGGGUAGAUCAAAGAGUAGCUGGCAGGUUUUUAGGCUUGCAAGUUUCUGAAUAAUGAGUGAGCAUGACACCUAAACCAAAUCCAUAGAAAAGUAAUGCUUAUAUAACACAGAGCACAAGUUCACAUGGUAUGCACACAAAUGGGCUCAAUGAUGGCAUAUCCAAGAAACAAAUUCGUGAUAUUUGUGGUACCAAAGUAGACAAUACGUGUCAAUGGGUUUGGGUUGUGACACUUUUGAGUCUUUGACUGACCAAAGGAAAACUUAAUGAUCAGAAUUGUGGCUCGAAUAGAGGGAAUAAGUAUUGGGGGUGGGUGCUCGGCUCAUUUCUUUCAAAUUUCGGUUCAGUUCUUCGUUAGUGUGUACCGAAUACCGAAUUGAUUUGAUCGGUUCAGUUGGGUUUUCUCAAGUUCAGUUCAGUUUUUCUAAUUCGAUUCUUCGGUAUGGACCAGACUGUUUUUCUGCUUGUAAGUUGGCUAUUUGAAAAUUUAAAAUGGCCUAUUUUAUGUUUUCUUUAAAAAAUGGGCCACAGAGUUACAAAUGCAGCUCCCUAAAUGCAACCAAUAUUACUAUUUGCCAAAAACGCAGCUGCCUUGCUACUGUACGUGUUCAUGCAGCCACACAGCAGCAAAACAAGAGAACCAGUAGCGACGGAGUUAACGAUAGGCUGGUAAUUUGGAGGCAAACCUUGGGAUCUACAGGGUUCAGGAUGAGCAAGACUAGGACAGGGUACUUGAAUGCAAGUUCAGUGGCGUAACUCAUGAGGCAGAUGUGGAAGUGAGGAUUGAUCAUUGAUGUACAAGUCAUCUCCAAGAGAGGAAGUUUCAAGUAUCUUAGCUCUAUAAUCCAAAAAAAAAAAGGGUAGAUCGACAACAAUGUUACACACCGUAUUGGAGCGGGCUGGAUUGGAGGCUCGCAUCCGGUGUCUUGUGUGAUAAGAGUAUGCCACCAAGACUUAGAGGUAAGAUUUUAGAAAAUGGUUGUCAGACCAACUAUGUUGUAUGGAGCGGAGUCUUGGUCGGUCAAGAACUUGCACAUUCAGGAAAAAAAAAGUAGCAAAAAUGAGGAUGCUGAGAUAGAUGUGUGUACAUAUUAGUAGUGAUAAGAUUGAGAAUGAAGAUAUCCUGGACAAGUUGAGAUGGUACGAACAUGUCAAGAGGAGAUGCACAGAUGUCCAGUGAGGAGGUGCGAGAGGUUGGCUAGAGGUAGAGGUAGGCCCAAGAAGUAUUGAGAAGAGGUGAUUAGAAUGACAUGCCACACCUACAACUUAUCGAGGACCUGAUCUUAGAUUGAAGGAUAUGGAGGUCGAGGAUUAGAAUAGAAGAUUAGUAGGUCGUUGAGCAUUGUCUAGUUUCUCUUAUGAGUUUUGUUAUUAUUAUCAUAUAUCAUCUUAUCCUACGAUUUUAUCAUUGCCUGUUGUUUCCUAUACUUCAAUUAUCGCAAUGUGUUGUUGUUACUGUUUUCUUCUCCAUUAUGGUUCAACAUAACUAGUACUACACUUCACCCUUUAUCUUCCUUGGCAUACAGCCUCUCUACCCUUACAAAGUAGGGUAAGGCUGCAUACAUAAUACCCUCCCAAGACCCAUCUUAUGGGAUAACUAUGGAUAUGUUGUUGUUAUUGUUGAUUGAUUUGAAUUCGUACCAACUUAGUAUGCUAAUAGCCAAAAGGACUAACUUACAAUUAUAGCAAAUACCCAACAUAGACAUAAAAAACAAAAGCACAAAGGGGCCAAACACAGAGUAAAACCCCAAAUGGGUAUGAGGGUAUUAAGAGAACCACCUUCUACGAUUGCGCCUAGCAGCAUCACGUGUCCUGCGCUUCUUCUCAUCUUGCGAGUUCUCGAAAUAUCUCCUACGCUUGCAUUCCUGGAUGACCCCAGCUCUCAUGACCUCCCUCCUAAACCGGCCGAGAAGCUUUUCUUCCGGUUCAUUAUCACCCACAAUAAC
rnacentral:lncRNA from 1 species